AUUGAACGCUGGCGGCAUGCUUUACACAUGCAAGUCGAACGGUAACAGGCCUUUUGGUUCUGACAUGUGGCGAACUGGUGUGUAAUGCAUCGGAACGUGCCCAGAGGUGUGGGCUAACGCAUCGAAAGCUGUCCUAAUACCCCAUGUGUUCUUCGGGUGAGAGCGGGGGACCAGUCAGCGAUGUUUGGCCUCGCUCUUUUGUAGCUGCCGAUGUCAGAUUAGGUAGUUGGUGGGGUAAAGGCCUACCAAGCCGACGAUCUGUAGCUGGUCUGAGAGGACGACCAGCCACACUGGGACGGAGACACGGCCCAGACCAGAACGGGAGGCAGGAGUGGGGAAGUUUGGACAAUGGGAGGAAGGGUGAUCCAGCAAUGCGGCGUGCGGGAAGAAGGCAUGGGGGUUGUAAACCGCUUUUGUACGGAACGAAAAGGAGCUGGCUAAUACCUGGGGUGGAUGACGGAACCGUAAGAAUAAGCACCGGCUAACUACGU
rnacentral:rRNA from 1 species